rnacentral:misc_RNA from 1 species
UACAGAGAGUGCAAACGUUGUUCGGAAUUACUGGGCUUAAAGAGCACGUAGGCGGCAUCGUAAGUGUCUGGUGAAAUCCCACGGCUCACCCGUGGAACUGCCCGGCAUACUGCGGUGCUAGAGUGUGGUAGGGGAGAGCGGAACUCCAGGUGGAGCGGUGAAAUGCGUAGAUAUCUGGAGGAACACCGGUGGCGAAGGCGGCUCUCUGGUCCACAACUGACGCUGAGGUGCGAAAGCUAGGGUAGCGAACGGG